UCAAUGAUACUCUGGAACAAGGUUAUUCAUUCAACCAUGUUUAUUGAUUCUGUUCUGUAUGUCAAGUACCUUUGAAUAAAGACUGAUAGAGGAACCCUGUUGAAGUCUAUAAAUUUGUGUGAGACUUGUGUGUUUAAAAGGCAUACAGAGAAUUCUCAUUUGAGAAUCUCUUCUGGAAAACGACGGAAUAACUGGACACCAAACAAUUUACAAACGUCUACAACUCCCUACAUCCCCCGGAGCCUUGCUGCAGUGAUGAUGAUUUCACAGACAAGGUCGGCUCCGGGCUGUGUUCUGACAGAGAGGAACGUUUUUAACCAGAGACCACCAGAAAGCUCCUUGAGGCCGAAUGAGUUCAGAGACCUGUUUCUCCAGUUUGCCUGA
rnacentral:lncRNA from 1 species